AUGUCAUCAAGAUUGGAAUCAGCAAGUCACAAACUCGUCAUCACAAAGGAGAUUUCAUAUCUAAAGAAAAUCAACAAAGGCUCCAACAUUGUGAUCUUGGACUCGUACUCAGACUCAGCAAAGAUAGUUGCAAGAACGCUAACGAGGCUUGGAUUUAAGAACUCAUGGACCAUUGGUGAUGGAUUUUCUGGAGGCAAAGGGUGGUUACAGAGUAGAUUAGGUACAGAUUCGUAUAAAUUUUCGUUUGCAGAGGUGUUGUCACCAUCCAGAAUCAUCCCUGCAGGUGUUAAAAGUUUUGGAACAACCAGCAGGCAAUCUAGUCAGAAACUUCUUCCAGGAGCUGACUGA